rnacentral:rRNA from 1 species
AGAGUUUGAUCCUGGCUCAGGAUGAACGCUAGCGGCAGGCCUAACACAUGCAAGUCGAGGGGUAGGGGGCGCUUGCGCCCCCGAGACCGGUAGAUGGGUGAGUAGCGUGUAUGCAAUCUGCCCUCUACAGGGGAAUAGCCCAGGGAAACUUGGAUUAAUGCCCCAUGGCAUCACGGAGCGGCAUUGUUCUGUGAUUAAAGAUUUAUCGGUAGAGGAUGAGCAUGUGUUUUAUUAGCUAGUUGGUGCGGUAACGGCGUAUCAAGGCCGCGAUGGGUAGGGGUUUUGAGAGGGGGAUCCCCCACACUGGUACUGAGACACGGACCAGACUCCUACGGGAGGCAGCAGUGAGGAAUAUUGGACAAUGGGCGAGAGCCUGAUCCAGCCAUGCCGCGUGCAGGAAGACCGCCCUAUGGGUCGUAAACUGCUUUUGUACGGGAAGAAACACCCCCUCGUGAGGGGGCUUGACGGUACCGUACGAAUAAGGACCGGCUAACUCCGUGCCAGCAGCCGCGGUAAUACGGAGGGUCCGAGCGUUAUCCGGAAUCAUUGGGUUUAAAGGGUCCGUAGGCGGGCGUCUAAGUUAGUGGUGAAAUCUCGCGGCUUAAUUGUGAAAUUGUUAUUGAUACUGGUCGUCUUGAAUGGUUGUGAAGUGGCUAGAAUAUGUGGUGUAGCGGUGAAAUGCUUAGAUAUCACAUAGAAUACCGAUUGCGAAGGCAGGUCAUUAAUAACGCAUUGACGCUGAUGGACGAAAGCGUGGGGAGCGAACAGGAUUAGAUACCCUGGUAGUCCACGCCGUAAACGAUGGAUACUAGCUGUCCGGGGUACAUUGGUGUCCUGGGUGGCCCAGCGAAAGUGAUAAGUAUCCCACCUGGGGAGUACGUUCGCAAGAAUGAAACUCAAAGGAAUUGACGGGGGCCCGCACAAGCGGUGGAGCAUGUGGUUUAAUUCGAUGAUACGCGAGGAACCUUAUCAGGGCUUAAAUGCAGUUCGAUAACCCCCGAAAGGGGGCCUUCUUCGGACGGACUGCGAGGUGCUGUAUGGUUGUCGUCAGCUCGUGCCGUGAGGUGUCAGGUUAAGUCCUAUAACGAGCGCAACCCCUGUCGUUAGUUGCCAGCAUGUAAAGAUGGGAACUCUAGCGAGACUGCCGGUGCAAACCGCGAGGAAGGUGGGGAUGAUGUCAAAUCAUCACGGCCCUUACGUCCUGAGCCACACACGUGCUACAAUGGUAGGCACAAUGGGCAGCCACCCCGCAAGGGGGAGCGAAUCCACAAAACCUGUCUCAGUUCGGAUCGGGGUCUGCAACUCGACCCCGUGAAGCUGGAAUCGUUAGUAAUCGGAUAUCAGCCAUGAUCCGGUGAAUACGUUCCCGGGCCUUGUACACACCGCCCGUCAAGCCAUGGAAGCCGGAAGCACCUGAAGUCCGUCAUCGCAAGGAGCGGCCUAGGGUGAAGCUGGUAACUGGGGCUAAGUCGUAACAAGGUAGCCGUA